rnacentral:rRNA from 1 species
GAAGUCCUACGGGAGGCAGCAGUCGAGAAUCAUUCACAGUGGGGGAGACCCUGAUGGUGCGACGCCGCGUGGGGGAAUGAAGGUCUUCGGAUUGUAAACCCCUGUCAUGUGGGAGCAAAUUAAAAAGAUAGUACCACAAGAGGAAGAGACGGCUAACUCUGAGCCAGCAGCCGCGGUAAUACAGAGGUCUCAAGCGUUGUUCGGAAUCACUGGGCGUAAAGCGUGCGUAGGCUGUUUCGUAAGUCGUGUGUGAAAGGCGCGGGCUCAACCAGCGGACGGCACCUGACACUGCGA